AGAGUUUGAUCAUGGCUCAGGACGAACGCUGGCGGCGUGCUUAACACAUGCAAGUCGAACGAUGAACCACUUCGGUGGGGAUUAGUGGCGAACGGGUGAGUAACACGUGGGCAAUCUGCCCUGCACUCUGGGACAAGCCCUGGAAACGGGGUCUAAUACCGGAUACUGACCCUCGCAGGCAUCUGCGAGGUUCGAAAGCUCCGGCGGUGCAGGAUGAGCCCGCGGCCCAUCAGCUUGUUGGUGAGGUAAUGGCUCACCAAGGCGACGACGGGUAGCCGGCCUGAGAGGGCGACCGGCCACACUGGGACUGAGACACGGCCCAGACUCCUACGGGAGGCAGCAGUGGGGAAUAUUGCACAAUGGGCGAAAGCCUGAUGCAGCGACGCCGCGUGAGGGAUGACGGCCUUCGGGUUGUAAACCUCUUUCAGCAGGGAAGAAGCGAAAGUGACGGUACCUGCAGAAGAAGCGCCGGCUAACUACGUGCCAGCAGCCGCGGUAAUACGUAGGGCGCAAGCGUUGUCCGGAAUUAUUGGGCGUAAAGAGCUCGUAGGCGGCUUGUCGCGUCGGUUGUGAAAGCCCGGGGCUUAACCCCGGGUCUGCAGUCGAUACGGGCAGGCUAGAGUUCGGUAGGGGAGAUCGGAAUUCCUGGUGUAGCGGUGAAAUGCGCAGAUAUCAGGAGGAACACCGGUGGCGAAGGCGGAUCUCUGGGCCGAUACUGACGCUGAGGAGCGAAAGC
rnacentral:rRNA from 1 species